CCUCCCCUGCCUCCCAAGUGCUGGGAUUAAAGGGAUGCACCACCACAUCUAGCCCAUUUUUAAAUAUACUUAGUCAUUCUUUGAGUUCUUUAGGAUUUCAUGUGAUUCUCUUUUACUGUCGGCUAUUACUGAGGGAUCAGUGAUUUUUUUUUCUUCUUUUCAUGACAAAAGUCUUACUGUACCCUGUUUGGCCUUGAAGUGAUAGAGAUCUGCUUACCAGUGCUGGGAUUAAAGGUGAGAAAGACACAGAGCAAGGAUCACCGGGUGUCAUCUUCAAACCUUGGUCAACACAAUGGCAUUCUUUCCUGCAGUCCUGCUAAACUCACUUAGAUUCCAGUGGAGAUUCCAUAAGGUUUCCUGCACAUGGUCAAGCCAUCAGCAAAUAACAGUUUUACUCUUUGCUUUCUGA